UAAAGUUUUUUGUCGUAAAUAGGAAUUAUUUUCAAGAGAAGUUUGUUUUGUUUUCGUGCGCGUAGGAGACGAGACGUACGAAUUAAAUCAGUCGAGGGAAGGAUAAACGUUAGAAAGGAAUUAAAGAGAAAACGAGAGUUUAUGUAAAAGAGAGUUAUAGAAUUUAUAGUGAUGUUUUGUUUUAAUUAGAAAAAUGUUGAGAGUUGUUUCAGAACGACACGUCAGUGGACGUGGCAGAGUGAACACGUGACGGGGAGGUGCUGAGACCUAGCGGAGAACGGAGGAACCGCAAGCGAGGGUUGGCGCACCUGAUGGAAUUCGGUGACGUCACGGGCUCAUACGGAGACGUGGACAGGCCGUGACCUUGUUUUGAUCAGCUGUACGGUAACUUAACGAUAAGAAAAUAGACUAUUGGUUAAAUAAAUUUAAAUUUAAGUGUGUUUUAGGAGAAGAGGAACUUUCAGUAUAUUCCUUAAGAUGAGCUGAGCAGCAGUCCAGUUUACAAGAUGACAAGAGUUCGAGAGACAAGAUACAAGAUCACUGAAACAAGAGCCAAGACUGAAGAUUCAAGAGAAGAGAAAGCUGGCAGCCAUGGACUUACAAGUGGAGAUUAAUAAGGUCAUGUAAAGUUUUAUUUUUUUUUAUGGAAGACAGUAACUGGAGUUUUUUUUUGUUAUAAACAUUAUUUACAGAACUUUUUAGGUUAUAGUAAUGUAAUGGAACUAGUGAGUUGUGGUAGCUGUCAAAAAGAACUAAUACCUUAAGUUUAAUUUUUAAAGUUAAUUUUCUUAAUUUACAGAGGGAUUAGUAGUUUUUUUUAAACCUUAUUUAGGUUGGAAUUUAAAUACAAUAGCUUAUUAUAAAUGUGUACGAACAGUUCAAGUUCACAGUACUGAUAGGUAGGUCAGAUGAUCUUAUUGAUUUUGAUGAUUUGUUGUUUUGAGUUGAUUUUUAAGUGUUGUGAAUUAGACAAUGAAAUAGUUCUGAAAACUUAAAUUAUUUCAAGCUAAGAAAUAGUAAAUUUAAUUGUAACUCGAAGGACACCAGAAUGUAAAUUUGUUUUGAAUUAGUAAUGUUUGAAAAUUUUAUACUUUACAAGAAAGGUUAUAAACAAACAGAUCGGAUGGAACAAGGAUGCAGUAAAUCACAAUUUCAUUUAGAAUUAUUGAUUAGCUUUUGAGGUUAUGAAGUAAAAGUAAUUAUAGUUUAAAAGUUUGAAUAAAAAAAAAAUGUUUUUUUUUUUUAUUUGUUUGAAAUAGAAAGUUUAAAAGUUAAUUAGUCAUGAUCUAGGUGGGUGAUGGGGUGGGAAUUGGCCACUCUUUUUCCCUAUAACCUCCCUAACAUGGCCUUCUAUUACAUCUAACAGAAAAAAAAAAAAGAAGAAAAAGAAGACUUAUUAUUAGUUAGAAUGUUUUUUUAUGAAGAUACCUGAUGAACUUUUACUGUUUGGAAGAAUAGAAGCAAGGUUAGUCAGAUAUUUUUACUCAGAAGAAGAAGAAGAUAAAGCAGUUUUAUGACUCGACAAGCCAGAGAUUGGUGUUUCCCCUCUGCGCUUCUAUUGACUACGUUGUUUACUCUCAUGGGAUAGCUGGUUCGGCACCAUGGAGAGAGAUUGGUGGGCAUUGUGGUUGCCCCCAGAAGAAAAGAAGAGUAGAAGAGGUUAUGGGUGGGUCAUGUGAACUGACCUUCAACCCAGUUACUUCGUGGGGACUAUUUGCUGUAUAGAGAAGAUCAAGACUCAAGAGGUAGGGAAAAUCAUUGGAGGUCAUGUUUCCCUUCCUUAAGUUUUUCCUAUCAAAUUAUUUGCCUGAUUAGAUUAUGCUAAGGGUGGGAUACUUUAUGUUAGCAGUUGAAUUAAUUAAUUUUAUUUUUUUGUGUGUUUGCAUCCUUGCCCAUCGAUUGCAGUUUAGUAGUUAGUUUUGUAUUUGUCAGGCGUGAUGGUAAUGCCUGUUGAUGAUGUUUCAGAAUUGUAAUCUGUUCGUGAUGAGGAUGGCACAACUCCGAAGCAGAUGUGGGGAGAAGUUGUGAGCUGCCCUGGAAGCCAGUCCAGUAGCUGUUGGAGUUGAGUGGUGUUUGCUGAUGGCCAGCCCAGGGAGCUACUCUUCUCGACAACACUGACUUCGAGGAGUUGCACCAACCUUCACGAGAUAAGAGUUUAAUUAAUUGAAACACUGUAAGGACACUUAAUUUUUUUUGAAGAACGAAAGAAGUAUGGUAAUAAACGGAAACCGAAAAAAAAAAA